UCUAGCUUGGCGUAUGACGUUGAAACAUCUCGCUAGCUAUCUUACGAUCAUGCAAUGGCAAUAUGAUAGUGACGACACAAGUCAUGAGACGGAACGGUGGGAUUUGCAUGGCAAUAUAUCUUGGAAUGGCUAUGAAAAUGCCAUAGUAGAUAAGUAUGGUGGCUGUUCUGAGGAAGGCAUAUUGUGGGUUUGUGCACCGGCGAAAAUUGCGCGGUACUAGAGAGGCUAGAAAUGGUGGAAGGUAAAAGUGCAUCUAUACCAUGGACUCACAUUAGUCAUGAAGAACUCACAUACUUAUUGUGAAAGUUUUUAUUAGCAAUCGAAACAAAGUGCUAAACACAUACUCCUAGGGGAAGGGUUGGUAGGUGUAAACCAUCGCGCGAUCCCGACCGCAACACAAAUGAUGACAAUCAAUAGAUCAAUUAUGCUCAGACUUCCUAACAUAGCGGUUCACCAUACGUGCAUGUUACGAGAAUCAC
rnacentral:lncRNA from 1 species